AGCCAAUGGCACUUCCUAGGACUCGAAUACUACAAACACUGCUCUCCUCAAAUAUGUUCUCGCGAAAUUAACGUGGAAAAAACGUAUGAUGAAAAAGAACGUCAAGUGAUUUGUUCAGCCAACUAUCUGGUAUUUCCUUAGGUAAUCAUGCGUGAUCACGUGCGCUGCGAAUUUUGGCCAGAAAGCGGAGCCAGAGGCAAAAGCACAUUAGCACAGGCGGCUCUGUUUGUCAUUUGAAUAUAUAAUGAACGAAUCGCUGCGACAAAAGAAGAGAGUCCAAUGGCGUUAAAUUGGGAGUGGAUAAGCUCUGGAGUUCAAAAUCAGCCAGCCGAAUUGGAGAAACCCCAAAGGAGGAAUAAAAUUAUAAUGGAAACUUUGGCACAAAUAAAAUCACUACCAUUCAGUACCUAUUAAUUUGUCAGCCUGCAAUUGGCAAACCCAAUUUGCCUGCAGCUUCGUUGAAGCGUAAAUGAAAACAAAACCAAAGCCGAAUUUAUGGCCAAAUGCAGCCAAUUGCGAACCAUUUUAAAGCCAACAAAAAGUGAACGAGGAAGGGGCGGGGAAACACAAAAGCCGGUUGGCCAAUACUCGCCAAAUCGGAUGCACUUUAAUGGGGCCUAUGUAUGAGUAAUAUAGUUGUUUUUCAACAAUUGUUUGAUUCUGUUAUUCUGAGUGAAGCAUGGAAAAUCAGAAAUUAGUUUAUAUUAUG